rnacentral:rRNA from 1 species
CAUUACUGAACUGUCGACACGAGUUGUUGCUGGUCCUCAAAUGGGGGGCAUGUGCACACUCUGUUUACACAUCCACUCACACCUGUGCACCCUCUGUAGUUCUGUGGUGUGGGGGACUCUGUCCUCCUGCUGUGGUUCUAUGUCUUUACACACACACACUGUAAUAAAAGUCUCAUGGAAUGUAUACCGCGUUUAGCGCAAUACAAUACAACUUUCAGCAACGGAUCUCUUGGCUCUCGCAUCGAUGAAGAACGCAGCGAAAUGCGAUAAGUAAUGUGAAUUGCAGAAUUCAGUGAAUCAUCGAAUCUUUGAACGCACCUUGCGCCCUUUGGCUAUUCCGAAGGGCAUGCCUGUUUGAGUAUCAUGAACACCUCAACUCUCAUGGUUUGCCGUGAUGAGCUUGGACUUUGGGGGUCUUGCUGGCCUAUGGUCAGCUCCUCUUAAAUGAAUCAGCUUGCCAGUGUUUGGUGGCAUCACAGGUGUGAUAACUAUCUACGCUUGUGGUUUUCCACCAGGUAACCUUCAGUAAUAGAGGUUCGCUGGGGCUCAUAAAGGUCUCUCCUCAGUGAGGACAGCUUUUGAACAUUUGAUCUCAAAUCAGGUAGGACUACCCGCUGAACUUAA